rnacentral:rRNA from 1 species
AACGCGAAGAACCUUACCAGCCCUUGACAUCCCUGUCGCGGGAACGAGAGAUCGAUCCCUUCAGUUCGGCUGGACAGGAGACAGGUGCUGCAUGGCUGUCGUCAGCUCGUGUCGUGAGAUGUUGGGUUAAGUCCCGCAACGAGCGCAACCCUCGCCCUUAGUUGCCAUCAUUCAGUUGGGCUCUCUAAGGGGACUGCCGGUGAUAAGCCGCGAGGAAGGUGGGGAUGACGUCAAGUCCUCAUGGCCCUUACGGGCUGGGCUACACACGUGCUACAAUGGCGGUGACAAUGGGACGCAAUGGGGCAACCCUGCGCAAAUCUCAAAAAGCCGUCUCAGUUCGGAUUGCACUCUGCAACUCGAGUGCAUGAAGUUGGAAUCGCUAGUAAUCGUGGAUCAGCACGCCACGGUGAAUACGUUCCCGGGCCUUGUA